AUGGAUUCCCCCAUGGCGAACAAGACGACGGAACCAGAGGAGGAAGAUAGGUUGAGCGCGCUGACGGACGAUGUUUUACUGUCGAUCUUGCGGAAAGUCAACAUAAGCACGGCCGCACGGACAAGUUCGCUGUCAACACGGUGGAGGCAGCUGCCCUGGCUGCUGCCCGAGCUCAGUAUUGAUGUCAGGUGGUUCCUACCUGCUCCACACUCAGACCCGAUUGAGGCAAAUGACAUGCAGGAAGCUAUGGUGGCUCUAACUAAAGCAACUAGGAGUUUAUUGUCUAAACCUCGGAGAGGAUCCACCACCGCGAGGCUGGACCUUGUGAUCUACUUGAUCAAUACUUUCUUGUCUGACCUUGGCCCACUGGUAGGUGAUGCAGUCGAUUGUGGUUUGUUAAAAGAUUUGGAUCUCACCAUUCAUGACGGGACAGAUCCUCUUGACCGUAAUGAGGAGUAUAUGCUUCAGCGAGCGCAAGAUAUAUAUGGGUUUUUCACUGCCUACCCUAGUGUGCUCCAUUUCCUCACAAAGCUCUCUCUGUACAAUGUAUGCUUCAGUGAACUGGACAUAAAUCGUGUCCUGUUUGACAGCUGCAAGGAACUGAAGCAUCUAUUCCUCAUUUACUGUGAUACUGGCCGCCACAAUCUCUGUAAGAUAGAUGCACCAAAUUCAAAACUCAGUGUUUUAGAAAUCCACUUCUGUCGCUUUGAGAUGCUUGAGUUGGUCUGCCUUCCAAAGCUGGAGAAGCUCACAUGGUAUCAUUGGUUGUCUGAAUAUAGCCCCUUGCUGAUGUCUUAUGUCCCAUCUCUUGGGGAAUUAGAACUCUCAUCUGCGUUAACACUAAAGCAUGUACCAUUUAAAUUAAGUGAGGUUCUACAUGGAACCACAAGCAUACAUACUCUGACAUUGGACUUCCAAGGAGAAAAUCUUUGGAUGCAACCUGAAAUGAAGCAACUCUGCACCGCAUUCAACAAGCUAAGGAAGCUGUCUGUGCGUGGUAUCUUUGUUGAAUUUGACAUUAUAUGGACGACAGCCUUUCUUGUGGCGGCACCCUCCAUUGAAAUAUUAUGUAUUGAGGUAUGGGACCAUGACACAUGCGGAUGGGACGACAAUUAUAACAGAAAGUUGGUAUUCGCCGAUAGAAAAAAUCCUGAGUGGGAGAUGGACUCGCACAGCUCCAAGAACUGGCUACUGAAGGAGCUCCAGAUUGUUGGCUUCAGGCCGCUGGAACAGCAGUUUACAUUUAUAAGGGCCUUGCUGGAGCGAGCCCCCAACUUGCAGACGAUUGUCCUGAAAGGAGACAUAGAGUGUGUGUGGGAUUGUGUCGCCCUCAUAAGAGAGGCUUUAUUUCCAAAGACUGAGGCGAAUCACAGACGGCAAACCCUCGCCCCGAGUGAUCUUCUAUGA
rnacentral:rRNA from 1 species